rnacentral:rRNA from 1 species
GGCUUAGAGUUUGAUCAUGGCUCAGGAUGAACGCUGGCGGCGUGCUUAACACAUGCAAGUCGAACGAAGCGGUUUCGAUGAAGCCUUCGGGUGGAAUUGGAAUUGACUGAGUGGCGGACGGGUGAGUAACGCGUGGGUAAUCUGCCUCACACAGGGGGAUAACAGUUAGAAAUGACUGCUAAUACCGCAUAAGCGCACAGGACGGCAUCGUCCGGUGUGAAAAACUCCGGUGGUGUGAGAUGAGCCCGCGUCUGAUUAGGUAGUUGGUGAGGUAACGGCUCACCAAGCCGACGAUCAGUAGCCGGCCUGAGAGGGUGGACGGCCACAUUGGGACUGAGACACGGCCCAAACUCCUACGGGAGGCAGCAGUGGGGAAUAUUGCACAACGGGGGAAACCCUGACGCAGCGACGCCGCGUGAAGGACGACGUAUUUCGGUAUGUAAACUUCUAUCAGCAGGGAAGAAAAGAUGACGGUACCUGACUAAGAAGCCCCGGCUAACUACGUGCCAGCAGCCGCGGUAAUACGUAGGGGGCAAGCGUUAUCCGGAUUUACUGGGUGUAAAGGGAGCGUAGGCGGCGCGGCAAGUCAGAAGUGAAAACCCAGGGCUUAACUCUGGGAUUGCUUUUGAAACUGUCGGGCUGGAUUGCCGGAGAGGUAAGUG